rnacentral:lncRNA from 13 species
UAGAUCCCUGAAUGGUCAAAAAAAAAAUUGAAGUAUGUUUGUAGCACAAAAUAUCCUUUUUCACUCUCAUUAUGUCACAAGUGGACAGGCUCCCAGAGGCAGGGCCAUAAAAGACCCCAGCUCACUCGACUGCCCCUCCCCUCUCCAACAGCCAUCAGCCCAGAGCAGCAUGAAGACAGGCCCCCAGAGGCAGGGCCAUAAAAGGCCCCAGCUCACUCGACUGCCCCUCCCCUCUCCAACAGCCAUCAGCCCAGAACAGCAUGAAGACAGGCCCCCAGAGGCAGGGCCAUAAAAGGCCCCAGCUUACUCGACUGCCCCUCGCCCUCUCCAUCAGCCCAGAACAGCAUGAAGACAGGCCCCCAGAGGCAGGGCCAUAAAAGACCCAGCUCACUCCUCAGGGCUGGAGGGAAGCUAAAGUCACUUGUUCUAACAGCAGACUUAUCAGCUUGCGUGUGUUUGACCAAAUAUAAUUCUAUUUCUCUGUAAACUAAUUAACUACAGACUUUCAGCAAGCUUGUAGAGAAGGGCACUCAACAUGUACGGUAUUGACACAAAUGACUGAUGAUUAUUGACCAUAACCGGUUGUUUGGAAUGUGUUUUUUUUUAAAGCUUUUCUACCUGUGCAAUAUCAUGGAUUCAGAGCUAUCUUUCUAAUUGAACUGAGUGUUUUCUUUAAUGGAAGCUUCUCUAAUGUCAAAGCCCAUCUACUCUUUUUUUUCUAUUUUUACCAAUGACCUAC